GAAAUUUAAUGUGUUUGUCUUUAUAAUUACUGAAAUGUUGUUGAAAUUACUAUGCCAGCAAUGGAUAAAAUUUACUACCAUGAGCAGUCAAGUGCACUAUUGUCAUGUAUUGGAGAUAAACACAAGAUCCGUAAUUUUUAAUGAGCAAUGUUAUCAUUUUUACCAUGUGCAUGGUAAUUUGAACAACAAAAGCGUAGUAAUAAUGCCCCCAUCAACAUGGCUGUUUUUCUCUGUCAGCUUGUGAAAAGUUAACACAAGUGUGGACAGAAAAAGUAUUAUUUUCAGUGUUUUGGGGGUAAUAUUGAAUAAAGUUUUGUUUAUUUUUCAUAAUAUUGUACCCAUGUUGCUGUUGAUCUCGAGUUGAUGAUACCAUUCAAUUUCCAGGCCCAAUUAAGUUAUCCAAAUUAUAAUUAAGAUUAAUUUAUACUAUGUUUCUUGAUAACUCGAGCGAUGUGGAGCAUAAGUUGAAUUAGCCGCCAUAAUCGUGGAUCAGAGAUCGGUGAAAGCAAAUACGGACAUUAAAUUCAUUACAGGACUCCACUACAAGCGCCGCGUCUUCAUAUCUAAGAUUCGCUUUUUAUGGAUUAAAGAACAAUAAAUUAUUAUAGACAUUAUUAUUAAA